GCAUAAUAUACCAACUAGAUUGAACAAACGAAGGCAAUAUUCUGAAUAACAUCAUUCUCACAGUUAAACGUCAGUUUCAAAGCAGGGCAUUUGAAGACAUAAAAGCAAAAGUGAAACAGUUGAAUCAUUUCUAAGUUCCCCUGAUUAUCUUCGAAUUUGUUUGAGGUGAAUAUCACAUGUCCCUUGCUGCAAUUAAGAAAAGUCUAUUUGAUUCCUGAAGCAACAAGGUUGUUCAUCACUGAUGUAAAAUUGUAGCUAUAUCAGGCUAUUGGUCCAUAAUAAAACAUAGAGAGAAAAAGUUGCAAAAGAGAGUUGUCCAAAAUUGCUACUAUGGAUCCUGUCUGCAGAGAACGUACAGCGCUGCUAAGACAUGCACAUCCUUCUGAACUCUGGUUCUCUAUUCAUCUUGUGAAGAAAAGGAUGAAGCUGUCCAGCUCUUCUGUUCAUUGCAAAUCAAGAAUGAGUAAGACACUCUGCUCUAAAGUGGUUGUGAUGCAUAUUUUGAGUGGCAGAAGAUGUCUGGAGUUCUGCAUUAAAUUUCCCUGGUGCUUUGAAGAUCUUUCCUUCCCUAUGCCUGCAAGUGGAUUACAUAUAGUGUGGCCAAGAACCUUGGACCUCAAAUCUAAAUCCUGUAAAGCAUUUCCCCAACUGUCUUGCUUUUAUGGCACUCUUUGUGGACUGGGGAGAUGCGUUAAAAUUGUCUGAAGCAGAAUAAAAAACAGAAUCUCAAUUCA
rnacentral:lncRNA from 1 species